rnacentral:lncRNA from 1 species
CCGGCCUAGUAAAGGUCAUUCCGUACCCAAGAUUGUGCCAAGACUACGGACUAUCAUAGUUUGUGAUUGGUACAAUGUGUUAUGGGGAUUAUACCACCUCAGUUGAUGUCCUCGAGACUCAGUUCUUGAAUUGACAAGAAUACCAAUAUAAAGCUCGAUUGUGAAGCUCAUCAUAAGGCCGAUGUCAUCAGAAGGCCGAGGUC